rnacentral:rRNA from 1 species
UGGCGACGGGUGAGUAACGCGUGGAAAACCUGCCGUAUACUGGGGGAUAACACUUAGAAAUAGGUGCUAAUACCGCAUAAGCGCACAGCUUCGCAUGAAGCGGUGUGAAAAACUCUGGUGGUAUACGAUGGUUCCGCGUCUGAUUAGCUAGUUGGUGGGGUAAUGGCCUACCAAGGCAACGAUCAGUAGCCGGCCUGAGAGGGUGAACGGCCACAUUGGGACUGAGACACGGCCCAAACUCCUACGGGAGGCAGCAG